rnacentral:rRNA from 1 species
UACGUAGGAGGCGAGCGUUGUCCGGAAUUACUGGGCGUAAAGCGCGCGUAGGCGGGGCGCUGCGUCGGCGGUGAAAGCCCACGGCUCACCCGUGGGAGUGCCGCCGAUACGGGCGCUCUUGGAGGGCGGUAGGGGCCGGUGGAACGCCCGGAGUAGCGGUGAAAUGCGUUGAGAUCGGGCAGAACACCAGUGGCGAAGGCGGCCGGCUGGGCCGACCCUGACGCUGAGGCGCGAAAGCCGGGGGAGCGAACGGA